rnacentral:rRNA from 1 species
GACGAACGCUGGCGGCGUGCCUAAUACAUGCAAGUAGAACGCUGAAGGAGGAGCUUGCUUCUCCGGAUGAGUUGCGAACGGGUGAGUAACGCGUAGGUAACCUGCCUGGUAGCGGGGGAUAACUAUUGGAAACGAUAGCUAAUACCGCAUAACAGUAGAUAUCGCAUGAUAUCUGCUUGAAAGGUGCAAUUGCAUCACUACCAGAUGGACCUGCGUUGUAUUAGCUAGUUGGUGAGGUAACGGCUCACCAAGGCGACGAUACAUAGCCGACCUGAGAGGGUGAUCGGCCACACUGGGACUGAGACACGGCCCAGACUCCUACGGGAGGCAGCAGUAGGGAAUCUUCGGCAAUGGACGGAAGUCUGAACGAGCAACGCCGCGUGAGUGAAGAAGGGUUUCGGAUCGUAAAGCUCUGUUGUAGGAGAAGAACGAGUGUGAGAGUGGAAAGUUCACACUGUGACGGUAUCUUACCAGAAAGGGACGGCUAACUACGUG